UUUCUUGAUACGUACUACUGAAAAUAUAAUCUGUAAUCAACUGCAAAAACUGCAAUGCCUCCAAACGAAAAUUGUGUAAGCAACAUAGAAAUAGUUAAUCUGACAGCGCCCUCUGCUGUCUAAAACAGGAACUUACAAACAUGCAUGUGACACGAUUGCCUCCUCUCUUCUCAACGCAUUAUCUUGGUCUUUUAGAAUUUGAAUCAAAAUAAUUAAAGUGUGACAUGUACAGUAUGGAAAAGUCUCCUCCAUCUUUUGACUGGGCUCACAAUAAAGGAAGGAAAGGAAAGGACGUGACGUGUGGCCAAGUAUGGUGUCCCAUUUGUGCUCUCCAUUUAACCCAUGCACAGAAAAAGCAUUCAUCACUCUUUCAUGUGACACUGACAUGGUGCUGCUCAUCCCCCUCAUCUUUACACUCUUUCUGGAGGUAAAAUCUCAAGGAUUCUCCGAUCAGUUUUGGCUGACAGCAUCUCCAGCAUCAGUUCAGAAAGACUCAAGCGCAGUGCAGCUGACACAUGAUGAACGUGACACUCAGUCUGAUUUGAAUGAGCGGCCUGACAUUAAAAUCAUCCAUGAUUCUGAAAAGAGUGAAUUUAGAAUUCUUUGUGACAUACCAGGAUCAGAUGAUGGUGGUUAUAAUUGUUUUCUUUCUCUUGGAGAUGAAUAUCCACAAUUUAAAAAGAUACAAUCUCAUGAACUGUCUGGAAAAACACAGUGUCGUUUUACAGUCUUGGAAUAUGAAUUUUCAAAUAAUCUGAAGUCAGUGGAGAAUAAAGUAGUGAGCUGCAGUUAUUCUCCAAAAAAUGCAUCAUCCAAACGAUUAUAUAGUGAGAAGUACAACCUAACAGCUUUUUUUCCUGUGAAAAUUCAGUCACCACCAACAACAAAGGGAUCAUUAUCAACUCUGGUUACAGAAUCCAGUACUUGUUAUGAGACCACAAUAAACCCUACAACUGAAACUACUCAUCCUUCACAACCUCUCAACGUGACAUGGAACACAACAGGGGUUCUCAAAGUCGCAGCUGCUGGUGAAAAUGCUGUCCAUAGAACACCAAGAACAAAAACAUUGCUCAUCCUGACACUGGCAGCCACAAGCGGAGGGAUUUUCCUGACCGGACUCAUGGGCAUCUGUCUGUGCUACAUCAGACUGAAACCAAGGAAGAAGAGCCCUGUGAAUACUUCUGUAGCAGCCAUUCCCCAGACCUCAGAUGAUAUUGACGCCAAUGAGGAACGUUCUGAAGAAAAUGGGAUGAAACUGUACCACGUGUACUGCACCAUCCCUGAUGUCGCUGCAGACUCUCAUGUGAUAUACAGUCUGGCACAAAUGCCAAACCAUCCUCUGCCAGUUUAAGAGUUUAUCAUUAUAUUAUAAUAAUUAAACUAAUUGACAUUAAAAGAGAAUGUGGAAGUUUCACUUUCAAUCAAACUAUUUGAUUUUUCUAAUAAUCAAAAACAAAAAGCAAUGCCAGGAAAAAGUGAUGUCAGAUAUUAUUGGUCAAAUGGCAUGCACAUUUUAACUUGAUCACUGCUGUGCAAUAAAAAAACCCCUUACUGUUUUGUGUGACAUUUUCAGUGGUUUCACUGUAUGUUUGUGGUCAGUAUUUAGGACACACUGUUGCACAUGCAUACCCAGCCUCUCACUUCUCCUCAGCCAAGUGAGAAUCUGAUUUAAAACAAACAUUUUUGCCACAUGGUUUUAGUCAUUACAUCCUUGUAUUUGUGCAUUGUUGUUUUUGCCAAAGCCAAAGGUCAUUAAACAUAAUUUCAUUACUCAAACAUUACAAAGUUGCCCCCCCCCCCAAAAAAAAUAGGGUUAUUCAAACAAAAACACAUAGUUUUUACAAAAGCUUUACAUUUUCAUUUAAUCAACCAAAAUACCACAUUAUUAAAAGAACAAUAGAAAAAACAAAAUAACUAAGAUAUAGUAUUACAUAUUCACUCUUUGUAUCACUCCGCUUCAAUUGACUGUGUUUGUAUUUAUAUAUUUAUAAAAAUUCAGCUCCGUAUAAUGGUUUAGUCCUAUGGUAAGUGAUCUCUGUUGUUUUAUAUCUUAUGUGAAGUUUCACCAUGAAAUAAGGUAGACCCUUUUUCUGCCUCCUUACAAAUUUCAAUAAACUGUAAGUGUACAUCUUUCUUUAACCAUUAUUCAUAAAGCAUAUAAUUGCAUUGUUAACUUACUAUAACAGCACAAUUGAGUUCUCUGUGCAAUCUGAUUCUUAACUCUGACUUAAAACUAAUGGAAACUAACUGGAAAAUUAAUACUGUUUUAAAGCAGCUGAGUUACUAAUUUGUUUGUGGUGUCAUGUAGUGUGAACUAUAGUCGUUGUUUUACUCUGCAGAGUGCAGACCCACAGCUUGCAAGACUAAAAAACAAAAUGUUGCAUGAAUUAAAAGCAGAAUGCAUGACCAUGCCACGACAUUCCCAGUGUGAUGAUCCAUUUCUUUAUUUGAUUUAAAAUUGUGAUAUCUAGGCCUGGAAAUGAGUUCAUGUAUAAGCAUCCUUGUAAUGUUGUUGAAACCUCUUUUCGGGUUCAACAGUGACCUCUACUGUUGAAGCUUUGACAACUGCCACAGGAACUUGUGAGUGACCAUAAUUUUUAAUCUAAAAUUUACCUGAGUUAUAUUGAAGGGACUCAGUUUUAGAAAGGUUCUUGUCAGCAUCUGCCAUUAAAGGAUGAAGCAUUAAAGCAUUUAAAGCGUUAAAGCAUUUAUUUUCCUCACUUCCACUGGUAGUUGUCAAAGCCUUAACUCCUGGUACAACUGCUGUUAUUGGACGUUAGUAUUACCAAUGAUCUGAAAUGAAUCAGUCAAUAAAAAAAAAAACUUUGCAUAUGAUGAUCAGUCGAUCUGAUUUCUUGGUGGCAAAAAGAAAU
ensembl:lncRNA